UUCUCUGUAGCUCCAAGUUGGUAGAGCACGUCACCUGGUGGCGAGGAUGCUGGUUCGAGUCCGGCCAGGGAAACAA
rnacentral:tRNA from 1 species